rnacentral:rRNA from 1 species
CAGCCUGAUGCAGCACGCCGCGUGAGGGAUGACGGCCUUCGGGUUGUAAACCUCUUUUAGCAGGGAAGAAGCGAGAGUGACGGUACCUGCAGAAAAAGCACCGGCUAGCUACGUGCCAGCAGCCGCGGUAAUACGUAGGGUGCAAGCGUUAUCCGGAAUUAUUGGGCGUAAAGAGCUCGUAGGCGGUUUGUCACGUCUGCUGUGAAAUCUGGAGGCUCAACCUCCAGCCUGCAGUGGGUACGGGCAGACUAGAGUGCGGUAGGGGAGAUUGGAAUUCCUGGUGUAGCGGUGGAAUGCGCAGAUAUCAGGAGGAACACCGAUGGCGAAGGCAGAUCUCUGGGCCGUUACUGACGCUGAGGAGCGAAAGGGUGGGGAGCAAACAGGCUUAGAUACCCUGGUAGUCCACCCCGUAAACGUUGGGAACUAGUUGUGGGGUCCAUUCCACGGAUUCCGUGACGCAGCUAACGCAUUAAGUUCCCCGCCUGGGGAGUACGGCCGCAAGGCUAAAACUCAAAGGAAUUGACGGGGACCCGCACAAGCGGCGGAGCAUGCGGAUUAAUUCGAUGCAACGCGAAGAACCUUACCAAGGCUUGACAUAUACGAGAACGGGCCAGAAAUGGUCAACUCUUUGGACACUCGUGAACAGGUGGUGCAUGGUUGUCGUCAGCUCGUGUCGUGAGAUGUUGGGUUAAGUCCCGCAACGAGCGCAACCCUCGUUCUAUGUUGCCAGCACGUAAUGGUGGGAACUCAUGGGAUACUGCCGGGGUCAACUCGGAGGAAGGUGGGGAUGACGUCAAAUCAUCAUGCCCCUUAUGUCUUGGGCUUCACGCAUGCUACAAUGGCCGGUACAAUGGGCUGCGAUACCGCGAGGUGGAGCGAAUCCCAAA